rnacentral:rRNA from 1 species
GAUGAACGCUGGCGGCGUGCCUAAUACAUGCAAGUCGAGCGAAUGGAUUAAGAGCUUGCUCUUAUGAAGUUAGCGGCGGACGGGUGAGUAACACGUGGGUAACCUGCCCAUAAGACUGGGAUAACUCCGGGAAACCGGGGCUAAUACCGGAUAACAUUUUGAACCGCAUGGUUCGAAAUUGAAAGGCGGCUUCGGCUGUCACUUAUGGAUGGACCCGGGUCGCAUUAGCUAGUUGGGGAGGUAACGGCUCACCAAGGCAACGAUGCGUAGCCGACCUGAGAGGGUGAUCGGCCACACUGGGACUGAGACACGGCCCAGACUCCUACGGGAGGCAGCAGUAGGGAAUCUUCCGCAAUGGACGAAAGUCUGACGGAGCAACGCCGCGUGAGUGAUGAAGGCUUUCGGGUCGUAAAACUCUGUUGUUAGGGAAGAACAAGCGCUAGUUGAAUAAGCUGGCACCUUGACGGUACCUAACCAGAAAGCCACGGCUAACUACGUGCCAGCCGCCGCAGUAA